GGAGAGCUGAUGCUUUAUAGAAAAAAAAGGAAUCAAUAAACAAAUAAAUAAAUAAUCAGCAAUUGAUGCUACAUUUGAGAUUCGCCCAGAGCAGGAGCAGCAGUCUGGCUGCGGCAAUCGUUUUAACAGACCGCGGCCUUGCAGCCGCGUGGUCUCAGCAGCAUUUAACUACGGGACACCCAAAACUCCUGCGAGAACCAUCACCGCCAUCCCGGGCAGGGGUGUGCAGCUCCACGGGCCGGGACCUCUGCUGACACCCCGUGGCUCUAACACAAAAUGGCAUCAGGGUGCUCCUCACAGAAUGACGUCCCCGUGGCUCUAGCACAAAAUGACCUCAGGGUGCUCCUCACAGAAUGACGUCGAGGUGGCUCUAACACAAAAUGACGGCAAGGCUCGGAGGGCAGUGACGGACACCUCCCGGUGCAGCAGCUCGGGGCCUGGCAGCAGUGCCCGCCCAGCCCUCUCUGCCCCCUGACCUGUCCGCAGCACCGUGCUGGGCCGCACCCGCCUCCGGCCUCAGCCAGAAACCCCAUGGCCCCGGCACCGGAGAGCUCUUGUAGCCUGUGAAGGAAGCAGACACGUCGCACCGGGGCACCCGGCACGGCUGGGCCCCUGCCCAGCGCCUGAGCCGGGGAUCGAGUCACCGGCGCCGCUUGGUGCCCAGGGUCCUGACACAGGCCUGCUGGCAAGGAGCUCUUGCCCCAGCACAGCACAUCACACUAGCUCACAGCAGCACCGGGAGAUUCCCUGUGUGGGGAUCUACCGGAGUCGCGCACACAGGGCAGUUUUUGCAAAUGCAGCUGGCAGUCCUUGCCCACCCAGCAGCGGAGAUGCUGCAGGCAGAAAUAUGGGCAUACAGACUUGAGCUGACUGUAAAAUUUGGUUCAAAGGAAUAAAGAAGUGAAAGACAUUUCUGGUCUGGAUGGCAGUGGAAGAGCUCAAUCUCUACAGAAAAUCAGAAGCAUUCCAGUGGAGCUUGACAACCAGAGCAGACUUGGUAGGUACUGACACUUGUCAGCUUGUCUGCCAUACAGGAACAUACUUGAUAUGGAAAUUUUAUGAAAAGCAGUGCCAGAUGUUCUUAUACUUAGCAACCCACUUACCCUACUAAUUUCUUGGUGUCAGCUCCAGGAGAGCCAAAUCUUUAUAAGGAAAAACAACUUAAUACAGAAAAGAUUUCUAUCAGCAAUAAGUAUUCAUUUUUCUGCAUAUUCUUCAAGAGGCAGACAAGAAAUGGAAGCCACCAUUAGCCAGAACAACACUGUUAACAAGAAACAUUAGGCCACCUCUUUGGAAUUGGAAUAUAUGCCAGACACUUGACACAAGGUUCUAUCAAGCAAAAACAAAGUACAAAUCAGAGGUGAGUAUUGUAAAAAUGUCAGACUGUGCAAUCAGGGUUUACCUGUGUUUUACCUUCAGUGCUUACCCUUCAUGCUGCAGGCAGAAAACCUAGACUAGUCAAAGACUUUGGCUUUGUGCUCUUCACCUUCUCCUCUAUGUCACUGUAUGAGAUGCAGCCAGUGCAUCUCAGCACAGUCCUACUAUCUCACAGAAAUAACAUGCAGAAUAAGCAAAGCUGUGCAACAAGAGAGAACUGCUAAGAAAGGAAGAAAAAACAGAUUUUGUGGAAGGCUUAACAGCAUAACUUGACACAGGAUGAGCUCACAAACAAACUGGAGUCUCCAAAUCUGUCAGGAUUAGUGCCCGAGCUGCAGCAGCAUGAUAUACCUGCAACAUCAGUUCUGCCAAGAACUUUGCUUGAGCUGUGGAAAGGGUCACCAGCAGUUUGAUGGAGCCACCCAAGAUCUGGGAAAGAGAACCAACCUGCCAUGUCUCAGUUUUUGUAGUUUCCAGCUGUGGCUGUGGCUGGAAGGGUGAUGCAUAGCACUGCUAGUGAAUUACAUUACAGAAAUGUAAUGUUUUCAGGGUUUGUAUAUUUUUUGGUUUGUGGGUUUUGGGCUUUUGGGGGGGUUUGUGUGUGGUUGUGUGAUGGAUUUUGUUGGUUGGUUGAAUCUGGGACUUGUUUGG